rnacentral:rRNA from 1 species
AUUGAACGCUGGCGGAAUGCUUUACACAUGCAAGUCGAACGGCAGCACGGGGGCAACCCUGGUGACGAGUGGCGAACGGGUGAGUAAUGCAUCGGAACGUACCUUUCAGUGGGGGAUAACGUAGCGAAAGUUACGCUAAUACCGCAUAUUCUGUGAGCAGGAAAGCAGGGGAUCGCAAGACCUUGCGCUGAUUGAGCGGCCGAUGUCAGAUUAGCUAGUUGGUGAGGUAAAAGGCUCACCAAGGCGACGAUCUGUAGCGGGUCUGAGAGGAUGAUCCGCCACACUGGAACUGAGACACGGUCCAGACUCCUACGGGAGGCAGCAGUGGGGAAUUUUGGACAAUGGGGGCAACCCUGAUCCAGCCAUGCCGCGUGAGUGAAGAAGGCCUGGUUGUAAG